UAUGGCUCUUUGUAAGAGUGGUAUAGCGGCCCAAAAGGAUUUUUACAUUUGUAGAAUACACAGCUAAACCAUCUGAUUGACACUUAUUGUUAUAUAUUAUUUGUUCAUGGUAUAGAGUUGGGAUAUUCAUAAUUUAAUUUACAUCUUUUUGGGGUGUGUUUUUAGGAGGAGUUAAACUGAACACGAAGGCAUGCAGUGUUGUUCUGGAGGAGGAUGGUACCAGGAUUGAUGAUGAUCAGGUACUUAUGGCCGUCCAUUCACAUACGCUGAUUCUCCUGAGGUGGUGAGGAAUGGACUUUAGUGGCAUCACAACAAUUUGAUUCUUGCAAACUCAAUGAGGGGACUGCCAGAUUUUACAUCUCGUUCUGAAAGCAGUGCGUUAACUUCAUCACUUGACAAAUCUCCGAUCAGCUGGUCUUGGCCCUCUGCAGAUGCUUGAUGUGAUGGCAACACAAAGUUUGACCGCGGGAAAGGCACCAAGUCCAGAAGCUUUGUUACAGUACAUGAGGAUGCUGCUGAAACUGAUAAAUUAACAAUGACGAAACCCCUGGACUCGCCCCGCCUUGUAAUUUAUGUACAUAACAACGAAGUUCAGCAGAUUGUGGGGACACCAUUAGAGUGGUCUCUAACCCCAAGACUGUGGUACAUUGCGUCAUUCUUUUACUUGGUGUUUAUUAUACGUUUGAUUUGAAUAACCCAAAGAUUUUCUCCGAGGGAUUAGGCUUUCUCCAACAGUUCAUUGUUGGAGACAAAUACACUGGUCAAGCAGGUUAAGUAAAUUCUGCACAAAGUUUCAAGCCUUGGCAAGUACUUAAAUAAGUCAAACAUCAUCUUGUCACAAUUCGGUCUAAAUUCGUUUUAAAUAGUUUCCUGAAAAAUUAAACAUUAGGUUAUGGAUACAAUUUUCACAGUUGUUUAUCAGUAGUUUAAACAAAUAAUAUUUUCACAUACUGUCGCGAUAAGAUGCCCCGCCCCCCCC